UGAACUUAAGCAUAUCAAUAAGCGGAGGAAAAGAAACCAACAGGGAUUGCCCUAGUAACGGCGAGUGAAGCGGCAACAGCUCAAAUUUGAAAUCUGGCUCCGGCCCGAGUUGUAAUUUGCAGAGGAAGCAUUUGGUGCGGUAUUCUCCGAGUCCCCUGGAAUGGGGCGCCAGAGAGGGUGAGAGCCCCGUAGGAUUGAAUACCUAGCCUGUGUGAAGCUCCUUCGACGAGUCGAGUAGUUUGGGAAUGCUGCUCUAAAUGGGAGGUAAAUUCCUUCUAAAGCUAAAUAUUGGCCAGAGACCGAUAGCGCACAAGUAGAGUGAUCGAAAGAUGAAAAGCACUUUGAAAAGAGGGUUAAAUAGCACGUGAAAUUGUUGAAAGGGAAGCGCCUGUGACCAGACUUGCGCCCAGCGGAUCAUCCGGUGUUCUCACCGGUGCACUCCGCUUGGCUCAGGCCAGCAUCGGUUCUGGUGGGGGGAUAAAGGUUCCGGGAAUGUAGCUCUUUCGGGAGUGUUAUAGCCCGGGGCGCAAUGCCCUCGCCGGGACCGAGGACCGCGCGAAAGCAAGGAUGCUGGCGUAAUGGUCACCAGCGACCCGUCUUGAAACACGGACCAAGGAGUCAAGGUUUUGCGCGAGUGUUUGGGUGUCAAACCCGCACGCGUAAUGAAAGUGAACGUAGGUGAGAGCUUCGGCGCAUCAUCGACCGAUCCUGAUGUACUCGGAUGGAUUUGAGUAGGAGCGUUAAGCCUUGGACCCGAAAGAUGGUGAACUAUGCUUGGAUAGGGUGAAGCCAGAGGAAACUCUGGUGGAGGCUCGCAGCGGUUCUGACGUGCAAAUCGAUCGUCAAAUCUGAGCAUGGGGGCGAAAGACUAAUCGAACCAUCUAGUAGCUGGUUACCGCCGAAGUUUCCCUCAGGAUAGCAGUGUUGUUCUUCAGUUUUAUGAGGUAAAGCGAAUGAUUAGGGACUCGGGGGCGAUUUUUAGCCUUCAUCCAUUCUCAAACUUUAAAUAUGUAAGAAGCCCUUGUUACUUAGUUGAACGUGGGCCUUCGAAUGUAUCAACACUAGUGGGCCAUUUUUGGUAAGCAGAACUGGCG
rnacentral:rRNA from 2 species